rnacentral:tRNA from 1 species
GUACCUAUAGUUUAAUUGGAAAAACGGCGGUCUCCAAAACCGUAUAUCUAUGUUCGAUUCGUAGUAGGUAUGCCA